rnacentral:rRNA from 1 species
UACGAAGGGGGCUAGCGUUGCUCGGAAUCACUGGGCGUAAAGCGCACGUAGGCGGCUUUUUAAGUCAGAGGUGAAAUCCUGGAGCUCAACUCCAGAACUGCCUUUGAUACUGGAGAGCUUGAGUCCGGGAGAGGUGAGUGGAACUCCGAGUGUAGAGGUGAAAUUCGUAGAUAUUCGGAAGAACACCAGUGGCGAAGGCGGCUCACUGGACUGGUAUUGACGCUGAGGUGCGAAAGCGUGGGGAGCAAACAGGG